GGCCUCGUAGCUUAGCUGGUACUUAAGCGAGGGUGGUGACCAUGCGUGGGUUCGAAUCCCGCCGAGGCCA
rnacentral:tRNA from 1 species